rnacentral:rRNA from 1 species
AUAGCGUAUAUUAAAGUUGCUGCAGUUAAAAAGCUCGUAGUUGGAUUUCUGGGCUCAAGAAUUUGGCCGGCCACGGUUUCGUGUGUUAGUGCUUUGUUCUGUGUCCAUCCUUCCAAUCGCUAUUGGCUCUUCUUCAUUGAUUGGUCAGUAGUAUUGGAUCUUUUACUUUGAAAAAAUUAGAGUGUUUCAAGCAGGCUUUAUGCUAUGAAUACAUUAGCAUGGAAUAAUAAUUUAGGACUUCGGUUCUAUUUUGUUGGUUUCUAGGACUGAAGUAAUGAUUGAUAGGGAUAGUUGGGGGUGCUAGUAUUCAGAGGCCAGAGGUGAAAUUCUCGGAUUCGCUGAAGACUAACUUAUG